rnacentral:lncRNA from 1 species
GGCGGGCGGCCUCCGUGUGCCAAAAAUAGGCCACGGGCACAGCCGCGCCCAAAAAUCAGCCCCCGAAGGUCGGGGUCACAAGACCCCCCAGCGGAAAAAUGGCCAAGAAACGCGUGGGCUAUAGCCUUGGUGGGGGGCGUGGGCGAAGUUCGUCCGCGGGACUCGGAAUGGCCCCAGACUUGGCGGGCGGCCUCCGUGUGCCAAAAAUAGGCCACGGGCACAGCCGCGCCCAAAAAUCAGCCCCCGAAGGUCGGGGUCACAAGACCCCCCAGCGGAAAAAAGGCCAAGAAACGCGUGGGCUAUAGCCUUGGUGGGGGGCGUGGGCGAAGUUCGUCCGCGGGACUCGGAAUGGCACCAUACUUGGCGGGCGGCCUCCGUGUGCCAAAAAUAGGCCACGGGCACAGCCGCGCCCAAAAAUCAGCCCCCGAAGGUCGGGGUCCCAAGACCCCCCAGCGGAAAAAUGGCCAAAAAACGGGUGGGCUAUAGCCUUGGUGGGGGGCGUGGGCGUCCGCGGGACUCGGAAUGGCACCAUACUUGGCGGGCGGCCUCCGUGUGCCAAAAAUAGGCCACGGGCACAGCCGCGCCCAAAAAUCAGCCCCCGAAGGUCGGGGUCCCAAGACCCCCCAGCGGAAAAAUGGCCAAGAAACGCGUGGGCUAUAGCCUUGGUGGGGGGCGUGGGCGAAGUUCGUCCGCGGGACUCGGAAUGGCCCCAGACUUGGCGGGCGGCCUCCGUGUGCCAAAAAUAGGCCACGGGCACAGCCGCGCCCAAAAAUCAGCCCCCGAAGGUCGGGGUCACAAGACCCCCCAGCGGAAAAAAGGCCAAGAAACGCGUGGGCUAUAGCCUUGGUGGGGGGCGUGGGUGAAGUUCGUCCGCGGGACUCGGAAUGGCACCAUACUUGGCGGGCGGCCUCCGUGUGCCAAAAAUAGGCCACGGGCACAGCCGCGCCCAAAAAUCAGCCCCCGAAGGUCGGGGUCCCAAGACCCCCCAGCGGAAAAAUGGCCAAAAAACGGGUGGGCUAUAGCCUUGGUGGGGGGCGUGGGCGAAGUUCGUCCGCGGGACUCGGAAUGGCCCCAGACUUGGCGGGCGGCCUCCGUGUGCCAAAAAUAGGCCACGGGCACAGCCGCGGCCAAAAAUCAGCCCCCGAAGGUCGGGGUCCCAAGACCCCCCAGCGGAAAAAUGGCCAAGAAACGCGUGGGCUAUAGCCUUGGUGGGGGGCGUGGGCGAAGUUCGUCCGCGGGACUCGGAAUGGCCCCAGACUUGGCGGGCGGCCUCCGUGUGCCAAAAAUAGGCCACGGGCACAGCCGCGCCCAAAAAUCAG